rnacentral:rRNA from 1 species
AGAGUUUGAUCCUGGCUCAGAUUGAACGCUGGCGGCAGGCCUAACACAUGCAAGUCGAGCGGUAACAGAAUUUUUGACGAGCGGCGAACGGGUGAGUAAUGUAUGGGGAUCUGCCCGAUAAAGGGGGAUAACUACUGGAAACGGUAGCUAAUACCGCAUAAACUCUUAGGAGCAAAGCAGGGGAACUUCGGUCCUUGCGUUGUCGGAUGAACCCAUAUGGGAUUAGCUAGUAGGUGUGGUAAUGGCUCACCUAGGCUACGAUCCCUAGCUGGUCUGAGAGGAUGAUCAGCCACACUGGAACUGAGAUACGGUCCAGACUCCUACGGGAGGCAGCAGUGGGGAAUAUUGCACAAUGGGCGAAAGCCUGAUGCAGCCAUGCCGCGUGUAUGAAGAAGGCCUUAGGGUUGUAAAGUACUAUUAGUCGUGAAGAACUCCAGCAGCCGCGGUAAUACGGAGGGUGCUAGCGUUAAUCGGAAUUACUGGGCGUAAAGAGCACGUAGGCGGUUAUUUAAGUUAGAUGUGAAAGCCCUGGGCUUAACUUAGGAAUUGCAUCUAAAACUAGAUGACUAGAGUUUUGUAGAGGGAGGUAGAAUUCCAUGUGUAGCGGUGAAAUGCGUAGAGAUGUGGAGGAAUACCAGUGGCGAAGGCGGCCUCCUAGACAAAAACUGACGCUCAGGUGCGAAAGCGUGGGGAGCAAACAGGAUUAGAUACCCUGGUAGUCCACGCUGUAAACGAUGUCGAUUUGAAAGUUGUUUCCUUGAGGAAUGGCUUUCGUAGCUAACGCGUUAAAUCGACCGCCUGGGGAGUACGGCCGCAAGGUUAAAACUCAAAUGAAUUGACGGGGGCCCGCACAAGCGGUGGAGCAUGUGGUUUAAUUCGAUGCAACGCGAAAAACCUUACCUACUCUUGACAUCCAGAGGAUUUUGCAGAAAUGCUUAAGUGCCUUCGGGAACUCUGAGACAGGUGCUGCAUGGCUGUCGUCAGCUCGUGUUGUGAAAUGUUGGGUUAAGUCCCGCAACGGCGGCAAACCCCACGUAACGAGCGCAACCCUUAUCCUUUGUUGCCAGCGACUUUAGUCGGGAACUCAAAGGAGACUGCCGGUGAUAAACUGGAGGAAGGUGGGGAUGACGUCAAGUCAUCAUGGCCCUUACGAGUAGGGCUACACACGUGCUACAAUGGCGUAUACAAAGAGAGGCGACCUCGCAAGAGUAAGCGAAACUUAUAAAGUGCGUCGUAGUCCAGAUUGGAGUCUGCAACUCGACUCCAUGAAGUCGGAAUCGCUAGUAAUCGUAGAUCAGAAUGCUACGGUGAAUACGUUCCCGGGCCUUGUACACACCGCCCGUCACACCAUGGGAGUGGGUUGCAAAAGAAGUAAGUAGUUUAACCUUAAAAGGAGGACGCUUACCACUUUGUGAUUCAUGACUGGGGUGAAGUCGUAACAAGGUAACCGUAGGGGAACCUGCGGCUGGAUCACCUCCUAUAA